AUGAGGGCGACGCGGCUCCUGGCGGCGGCGGCGCUCCUCGCCGCGCUGCUCGCGGUGUCCGCGGCGGCGGCGAAGCUCGAUCUGGACGAGGUGGACGACUCGGAGGUGCUGGAGGCGCUGCUGGCCGUGGACGAGGAGGAGGAGGAUGCGGCGCCGCCGGGCGGUGGCGGGGGCGCGGAGGCGGUGCGGCGGACGCAGUCCAUGGUGCUGGUGCUCGACAACGACAACGCGGCGCGCGCCGUGCGGGACCACCCGGAGCUGCUGCUCCUCGGCUACGCGCCCUGGUGCGAGCGCAGCGCCAAGCUCAUGCCGCGCUUCGCCGAGGCCGCCGCGGCGCUGCGCGCCAUGGGGAGCGCCGUCGCCUUCGCCAAGCUCGACGGGGAGCGGUUCCCCAAGGCCGCCUCCACCGUCGGGGUCAACGGCUUCCCCUCCGUGCUCCUCUUCGUCAACGGCACCGAGCACGCCUACACCGGCCUCCACACCAAGGACGCGAUAGUUACUUGGGUUAGAAAGAAGACCGGCACGCCAGUAAUUAGGAUUGAGUCGAAGGAUUCAGCUGAGGAACUUCUUAAGAAGGGCCAGACAUUUGCUCUUGGCUUAUUCAAGAAUUACGAGGGAACCGACCAUGAAGAAUUUAUGAAGGCAGCGACUGCUGAAAACGAAGUACAAUUUGUAGAGACCAAUGAUAGGAAUGUGGCCAAGAUUCUUUUUCCAGGGAUUGCAUCUGAAGAACAAUUCCUGGGCCUUGUGAAAAGCGAACCAGAGAAGUUCGAAAAGUUUGAUGGAGCAUUUGAAGAAAAGGAGAUAUUGCAGUUUGUGGAGCUUAACAAGUUCCCACUAAUUACUGUAUUCACUGAUUUAAACUCAGCUAAAGUCUAUUCAAGCCCAAUUAAGUUGCAGGUCUUCACCUUCGCAGAGGCUUAUGAUUUUGAAGAUCUUGAAUCUAUUGUUCAAGAGGUGGCCAGAGGAUUUAAGACAAAGAUAAUGUUUAUAUAUGUGGACACUGCUGAAGAAAACCUUGCAAAACCAUUCCUGACUCUUUAUGGCCUUGAAGGAGAUAAACCUACUGUUACAGCAUUUGAUACGAGCAAAGGUGCUAAAUAUGUGUUGGAGGCAGAUAUUAACGCGAAGAACCUAAAGGAGUUCUCCUUAAGCCUUUUGGAUGGUACACUGCCUCCAUACUUCCGCUCAGAACCAGUACCACAAGAAGAGGGACUUGUUGAAAAGGUUGUUGGACGUACAUUUGAUUCUUCUGUCCUGCAAAGCCCUCACAAUAUUCUCCUCGAGGCUCAUGCACCUUGGUGUGUUGACUGUGAAGCCAUCAGUAAAAACAUUGAGAAGUUGGCCAAGCAUUUCAGUGGUUUGGACAAUCUUAAAUUUGCACGCAUUGAUGCUUCGGUGAAUGAACAUCCAAAAUUGCAGGUAAACAAUUACCCCACACUCUUGCUUUAUCCUGCUGAAGACAAGACCAACCCGAUCAAACUUUCAAAGAAAUUAAGCCUGAAAGACAUGGCGAGAUUCCUCAAGGAGAAGCUGCAGAUUUCGGACGUCGAAAUUAAGGAGAAGCUCCAAACUCCUAACAUUGAAACAGUAGCUGCCGCUGACAAUGUCAAGGAUGAGCUAUAG
rnacentral:rRNA from 1 species